UGGAGCUGGAUGCUGGUGAUCGCCGGUUUCAUCAAAGCAGCUCCCUCCGGGGACUUUGAUCAGGUGAAUGGGCCGCAAGAGAAAGCUCGGAGACCACUGGACAGGAAGAGUUCGGGGUUCCUGUCCUCGUUGAGGAGGGGCAAGGAGUCGCAACUCUGGUCUCUCUGUCUUCAGUGGUCAGGCGUUCAGAAAGACACCGAACCAGUGUGGACUUACAGUGGUGAUGGCUUUCUUUUCUGAGAACUCCACUCAGCCAGAUCUUCCACGGAUAUAUAUUUAUCAACAUCUAGCUUUUCCUUUUGGAAAGCCGGGGCCAGGUAGCUUCUGGCUAUUCUCAGCUUCUCGCAUCUCGGACAUUCAGCUUCAUUGCUCUGAAGACCCCAAGGUGAUUAUUGGAAACAUGGGCGUUUCACUUAGCUGCAGAUCUGGACCCAGUGACAGAAGCUGAAUGCUGCACAGGGACCAAUGCCAGACUGGACGUGGCGGGACAGUUGUCGUUGAGCUGAUAUCUGCAAUUUGACACUCUCCUAUAGAUGACAGCCGUGGAGCAUAUAAUAGUCCUCCCAGAAAUGAUCGUCCUCUCGUUUCACUGUAUCAGUAUGGUGUGCUGCGAAAGAAACAUCAGAUUUGGUCCCAGUUUGACACAGGUUCCCCUCUGGAGGAAGUGCUUAUGGUGUAGUCUGCCUGGAUUUGAUUCUCACCUCUACGGCCUCCAUGACCUUGGACAAGUUUCCUCACCUCCUCUGGUGCCUUACGUGUGAAAACGAGAUAAAAAACUGAGCCACAGG